rnacentral:piRNA from 1 species
CUGUACUAUCAGGACAUUCAGUAGCAGC